UGGGGAAUAUUGUCCAAUGGGCGGAAGCCUGAUGCAGCGACGCCGCGUGAGGGAUGACGGCCUUCGGGUUGUAAACCUCUUUCAGCAGGGACGCGGUACCUGCAGAAGAAGCGCCGGCCAACUACGUGCCAGCAGCCGCGGUAAGACGUAGGGCGCGAGCGUUGUCCGGAUUUAUUGGGCGUAAAGAGCUCGUAGGCGGCUUGUCGCGUCGACUGUGAAAAUCCGCGGCUCAACCGCGGGCCUGCAGUCGAUACGGGCAGGCUAGAGUUCGGUAGGGGAGACUGGAAUUCCUGGUGUAGCGGUGAAAUGCGCAGAUA
rnacentral:rRNA from 1 species